UUGUUAACCCUACUCCCAGUGUGUAUUUCAGCUCAGCCUUCCCUCCCUUCUUUGCCAGUUUGUCUUGUACCACGUGUCAGUGGUCCAGCCUUGGUUUUCCCUCAUGUUUGUCCAACAGUUUUGACCAGUUUGGGGAAAUGAAUGGGCAGCCUUUGUGGACCUGCUGGAGGCACAAGCUGCAGAUGGGACGUCCGUGCUGGCUGCAGAAGAACUCUAUCAGCUUGUUGUGGUCCAGACAGAUAUGCUCUGACAGGUCCCUGACAGGCUGACGUAACUGGUGGAAACUGAAUUUGGGAUUUUCCCGAUGAGGACGAAGGUGCUCCUCACAGAAAGAGACCAUGCAGGUGAGGCAGGUCUGGGAUGCUUCUGCCUCCAUACAGGUGUCACACAUUGAGGUGUCACACCGUAUGACGUCAUCUUCCUUUUCUUCUUCGUGGGUCUCUUCUGUGACCUGUUUGUCCUCACCGUCGUUGGACCUCAAGGUGAAGGUCUUCACAACAGUGCUGAGGACCGUGUUUUUCUUCAGCUCUGGUUUAGUUGGGAAAAGAGUCCGACACUGAGGACAGCUGUAGGUAUCCUUCCAGCUGGCGAGAAGGCAGUCCUGGCAGAAGUUGUGUCCGCAGGGGAGAGUCACCGGACAGUCAAAGGGGCUCAGACAGAUGCUGCAAGUCAGCUCGUCCUCCAGACUCAUGAGGGAAAACUGACUCUCGUCCACAUCGGCCAUGAUGAGUGCUCGGGUGAGGCUGUGAGGGAGAAACGAAACCUAACUUGUGAAGCGCACAAAAAGGUUUGUAAGGACAUGAGCUUCACUUUUUGUCAGCUUCAAAGUCAGCUGGUUGGAUCAUGAGGGGACAAGAGAAACUUUAAAUUUCCAAAACUAAACGGAAUGAUUUGUUUAUUUUUGUAACUCUGAGUUACUUUAAUGCAAACACUCUUUUAAAAAUACCUUUAUCAACACUUUAAUGUAAAACAAGAUGAAACAAAAUACAUUUACAUCACUUCUUUAUGCACUUAACUUUCUCAGUUAGCUAUCGAUGUAUGUCCACCUUUUAUUCUCUGUUUACAGGAUUUUCAGCCUUUAACACUAAAUGACCAUAACAAAUAACUCUUAACUCUCACAUACCUUAAGUGCUUAGCUACCUGCAGAUCAGAAGAAAUACGGGCUCUCCCUGUGUGAUCAGAAUUCCGUGACUGCGACACAGCUCGCUCUCUCUCUCUGUAUCUCUCUCUCUCUCUGCUCAAAUCUAUGGGUGUGGCCAAAAUAUUACACACUAAAAAUAUUGGUGGAGAAACAAAUGUCAUAGUUCUCUAAUUAUAAAGAUCUAAAGCACAUGAA